UACGUAGGGGCCAAGCGUUGUCCGGAUUUAUUGGGCGUAAAGAGCGUGUAGGCGGCCAGGUAGGCAUGCUGUGAAAACUCGAGGCUUAACCUCGAGCUGUCGGCGGAAACCAUCUGGCUAGAGUCCGGAAGAGGAGAAUGGAAUUCCCGGUGUAGCGGUGAAAUGCGCAGAUAUCGGGAAGAACACCCGUGGCGAAGGCGGUUCUCUGGGACGGUACUGACGCUGAGACGCGAAAGCGUGGGGAGCGAACAGG
rnacentral:rRNA from 1 species